UCAAUAUAUUCCAAAUAUUCCAAUAUAUUCCAAAAUAUUCCACAGCAGGCCUGGGUCAUGCUGGAUUAGCAAAGACAAGGACUGGCCUAGAUGGAGUCACACCCUCCCCAGCCUUGGGUUUGGGUAAUUCUCAACACCCUAAUUCAUUCUCCCCUGGCAGCUGGAGAGACCCGUGGGACAGCCACUCACUGCAGAAGGGGCUGGUGAGAGACAUGCUCGUCAUCUCCGAGGGCCUGGCUCUGCGCCAGCCACACACUUAUCUGCCUGCUCCAUCUCCGGAGUUUCUGUCUCUGAGCUUUGGCAAUGGAAGUUGUGCUUCCACUAUUAGCCAACACCGAGCUGGACUCUGGUAACUGACACAGCCGUGCAUCUAGUGUAGCUCGGGUUGAGAUGACUUGGCUUUUUAAAUUGCCUUCUAUGAAUAUAUAUUUGUCCUAAGACUGGACUGGCCACAUGAAAUCAGGUUUUCAAAACGGAACUGCCUGUGAGGAUGUGUGAGUGUGGAUGUCAGGUGGCAAGGGGCUGAGAAGGAAAGUGCAAGGGGGCCUCCCAUCCCACAUGACUCACACGUUGCUCACAUACACACACCCAGCCCCCCCCCCCCAACCCCAACACACACACGCAGGGCUGUAAACCAUAUGAUUAGGCUCCUGCCUGACUCUCCCAGGCCAUCUCUCCCUGUGGUCCAGCCACCAUGGGCUGCUUUCUGCUCCAAACACACUCAGGAUUGCUGUGUCCCAGGGCCUGCUUGGUGUCCUCUGCGUAGACACUAGACCAGAGCUCACAGAGCCACCUCCCUCUCAAUAAUCAGCUCUCAGCUCAAAUGCCACCUCUUUAAAGAAGACUUCCUUAGAAACGGCCUGAUUUCUAGUUUCACCAAAAACUGACCCUGAGAUGAGAAUUUGGGUAUAUGGCUUAUUUGGAAGGUGAUCCUGAAAUGAGUGAGAAAAGGAAAUCCAAAAAAGCAGGCCAGUAAAGCGUGUGUCACUUAAGGAGCAGGUAACCACUGUAGGCAACUGGAGCUCAUUCCCCAGGACUCCUGAGAGCUCUCGCAAUGUCCCACCAAUGGUUACAGAGGUGUUUGCCUUGGAGUAAUUCAUUAAGCUGCACGUUUGCUCUGUGUAUUUUUCUGUAUCUGGA
rnacentral:lncRNA from 1 species